GUGCUCGCUUCGGCAGCACGUAUACUAAAAUUGGAAAGAUACAGAGAUUAGCAGGGCCCCUGCACCAGGAUAACACACAAAGUCAUGAAGCGUUCCAUAUGUUU